AGCGAACGCUGGCGGCAUGCUUAACACAUGCAAGUCGCACGGGCGCUUUCGGGCAUCCAGUGGCGGACGGGUGAGUAUCGCGUAGGGAUUUGUCGUUGGGUGGGGACGAACCUUAGGAAACGUGGGCGUAAUACCGCAUGACGCCUGUGGGCCAAAGCUCGUGAGGCGCCUGACGAGGAGCCUGCGUCCGAUUAGGUAGUUGGUGGGUGAUGCUGACCAAGCCNGCGAUCGGUAGCUGGUCUGAGAGGAUGGCCAGCCACACUGGGACUGAGACACGGCCC
rnacentral:rRNA from 1 species